rnacentral:rRNA from 1 species
GACUCCACGAAGUUGGAUUCGCUAGUAAUCGCGCAUCAGCCAUGGCGCGGUGAAUACGUUCCCGGGCCUUGUACACACCGCCCGUCAAGCCAUGGGAGCCGGGAGCGCCUGAAGUCCGGGACCGCGAGGACCGGCCUAGGGCGAAACUGGUGACUGGGGCUAAGUCGUAACAAGGUAAC